UACUGCUAUCGGUGUUCGACUAAGCCAUGCUAGUUAAAUGUUCUUCGUGAACAUAGCGGACUGCUCAGUAACACGUGGACAAUCUGCCCUUGGGUUCAGCAUAACCCCGGGAAACUGGGGAUAAUUCUGAAUAGAUCACAUAUGCUGGAAUGCUUUGUGAUUAAAAGAUCCGUCGCCCAAGGAUGGGUCUGCGGCCUAUCAGGUUGUAGUGGGUCUAGAGUACCUACUAGCCAACGACGGGUACGGGUUGUGAGAGCAAGAGCCCGGAGAUGGAUUCUGAGACAUUAAUCCAGGCCCUACGGGGCGCAGCAGGCGCGAAACCUUUACACUGCGGGAAACCGCGAUAAGGGGACACCGAGUGCCAGCAUACAAUGCUGGCUGUCCACAUGUGUAAAUAGCAUGUGAUAGCAAGGGCCGGGCAAGACCGGUGCCAGCCGCCGCGGUAACACCGGCGGCCCGAGUGGUAAUCACUAUUAUUGGGUCUAAAGGGUCCGUAGCCGGUUUAAUCAGUCUUCCGGGAAAUCUGACAGCUCAACUGUUAGGCUACCGGGGGAUACUGUUAGACUUGGGACCGGGAGAGGUAAGAGGUACUAC
rnacentral:rRNA from 1 species